CUUAAAGGAAUUGACGGGGCCGCACAAGCGGUGGAGCAUUGUGGUUUAAUUCGAUGCAACGCGAAGUAACCUUACCAGCCCUUGACAUCCUCGGAAUCCUGCAGAGAUGCGGGAGUGCCUUCGGGAGCCGAGAGACAGGUGCUGCAUGGCUGUCGUCAGCUCGUGUCGUGAGAUGUUGGGUUAAGUCCCGUAACGAGCGCAACCCUUGCCCUUAGUUGCCAGCGCGUCAAGGCGGGAACUCUAAGGGGACUGCCGGUGAUAAACCGGAGGAAGGUGGGGAUGACGUCAAGUCCUCAUGGCCCUUAUAGGUGGGGCUACACACGUCAUACAAUGGCCGGUACAAAGGGCAGCCAACCCGCGAGGGGGAGCCAAUCCCAUAGAGCCGGUCGUAGUCCGGAUCGCAGUCUGCAACUCGACUGCGUGAAGUCGGAAUCGCUAGUAAUCGUGGAUCAGCAUGUCACGGUGAAUACGUUCCCGGGUCUU
rnacentral:rRNA from 1 species